rnacentral:tRNA from 1 species
AAAUUAGAAACAAUGAAUUUGUAUUCAGUUUCGACCUGAUAUUUAGUUUUUUAAAAUAAACUCUAAUUUU